GCGAACGCUGGCGGCAGGCCUAACACAUGCAAGUCGAGCGGCAGCGCGGGGGCAACCCUGGCGGCGAGCGGCGGACGGGUGAGGAAUUCGUCGGAAUCUGCCUUUUUGUGGGGGAUAACGUAGGGAAACUUACGCUAAUACCGCAUACGUCCUACGGGAGAAAGUGGGGGACCGCAAGGCCUCACGCAGAAAGAUGAGCCGACGACCGAUUAGCUAGUUGGUGGGGUAAAGGCCCACCAAGGCGACGAUCGGUAGCUGGUCUGAGAGGAUGAUCAGCCACACUGGGACUGAGACACGGCCCAGACUCCUACGGGAGGCAGCAGUGGGGAAUAUUGGACAAUGGGCGCAAGCCUGAUCCAGCCAUGCCGCGUGUGUGAAGAAGGCCUUCGGGUUGUAAAGCACUUUUGUCCGGAAAGAAAUCCCUGGAGCUAAUACCUUCGGGGGAUGACGGUACCGGAAGAAUAAGCACCGGCUAACUUCGUG
rnacentral:rRNA from 1 species